UACGUAGGGGGCAAGCGUUAUCCGGAUUUACUGGGUGUAAAGGGAGCGUAGACGGCAAAGCAAGUCCGGAGUGAAAGCCCGGGGCUCAACCCCCGGACUGCUCUGGAAACUGCCAGGCUGGAGUGCAGGAGAGGUAAGUGGAAUUCCUAGUGUAGCGGUGAAAUGCGUAGAUAUUAGGAGGAACACCAGUGGCGAAGGCGGCUUACUGGACUGUAACUGACGUUGAGGCUCGAAAGCGUGGGGAGCAAACAGG
rnacentral:rRNA from 1 species